AGUUAUCCAUUCUUGUUAUCAUUUCCUCAUAUCUUUUUUCAAGUUCCUUAGUUUCUUUGCAUUGAUUUAAUACAUGUUCUUUUAGCUCAUGAAAGUUUCUCAUUAUCCACCUUCUGAAGUCUAAUUCCGUCAUUUCAUCACAGUCAUUCUCCGUCCAGCUUUGUUCCCUUGCUGGUGAGGAGUUUUGGUCCUUUCUAGGAGGCGAGGUGUUCUGGUUUCGGGUGUUUUCCUCCUUUUUGUGCUGGUUUCUUCCCAACUUUGUGGAUUUAUCCACUUGUUGUCUGCGUAGUUGCUGACUUUUCGUGGAGUUUCAUUAGGUCCCAUUUGUCUAUUUUGGCUUUUGUUGCCAAUGCUUUUGGUGUUUUGUUCAUAAAGUCCUUGCCUACUCCUAUGUCCUGGAUAGUUUUGCCUAGAUUUCCUUCUAGGGUUUUUAUGGUGCCAGGUCUUAUGUUUAAGUCUUUAAUCCAUCUGGAGUUAAUUUUAGUGUAAGGUGUCAGGAAGUGGUCCAGUUUCUGCUUUCUACACAUGGCUAGCCAGUUUUCCCAACACCAUUUGUUGAACAGGGAAUCCUUUCCCCAUUGCUUGUUUUUGACAGGUUUAUCAAAGAUUGUAUGGUUGUAGAUAUGUUGUGUUGCCUCUGUUCUGUUCCAUUGGUCUAUAUCUCUGUUUUGGUACCAGUACCAUGCUGUUUUGAUUACUGUAGCCUUGUAGUAUAGUUUGAAAUCCGGUAGUGUGAUGCCCCCCACUGUGUUCUUUUUGCUUAGAAUUGACUCGGCUAUUCAGGAUCUCUUUUGGUUCCAUAUGAAGUUCGUGGUGGUUUUCUCCAUUUCUGUAAAGAAAGUCAAUGGUAGCUUGAUGGGGAUAGCAUUGAUUCUGUAAAUUACUUUGGGCAAUAUAGCCAUUUAUAUGAUAUUAAUUCUUCCUAACCAUGAACAUGGAAUGUUUCUCCAUCUGUUUGUGUCCUCUCUGAUUUCGUUGAGCAGUGGUUUGUAGUUUUCCUUGAAGAGGUCCCUUACAUUCCUUGUGAGUUGUAUUCCAAGGUAUUUUAUUCUUUUUGUAGCAAUUGUGAAUGGCAGUUCGUUCUUGAUUUGGCUUUCUUUAAGUCUGUUAUUGGUGUAGAGGAAGGCAUGUGAUUUUUGCACAUUGAUUUUAUAUCCUGAGACUUUGCUGAAGUUGCUUAUCAAUUUCAGGAGUUUUUGGGCUGAGGCGAUGGGGUCUUCUAGGUAUACUAUCAUGUCGUCUGCAAAUAGAGACAAUUUGGCUUCUUCCUUUCCUAUUUGAAUACCAUUUAUUUCUUUUUCUUGCCUGAUUGCUCUGGCUAGAACUUCCAGUACUAUAUUGAAUAGGAGUGGAGAAAGAGGGCAUCAUUGUCUAGUGCCAGAUUUCAAAGGGAAUGCUUCCAGUUUUUGCCCAUUCAGUAUGAUAUUGGCUGUUGGUUUGUCAUAAAUAGCUUUUAUUACUUUGAGAUACGUUCCAUCGAUACCGAGUU
rnacentral:lncRNA from 13 species